rnacentral:misc_RNA from 1 species
AAGUCGUAACAAGGUUUCCGUUGGUGAACCAGCGGAAGGAUCAUUACAGAGUUCAUGCCCUUACGGGUAGAUCUCCCACCCUUGAAUAACUUACAUUGUUGCUUUGGCGGACGCUUCGGCAGCCGCCAGAGAACCCUAAACUCUUGUUUACAGUGUCGUCUGAGUACUAUAUAAUAGUUAAAA